rnacentral:rRNA from 1 species
ACGAACGCUGGCGGCGUGCCUAAUACAUGCAAGUAGAACGCUGAAGAGAGGAGCUUGCUCUUCUUGGAUGAGUUGCGAACGGGUGAGUAACGCGUAGGUAACCUGCCUUGUAGCGGGGGAUAACUAUUGGAAACGAUAGCUAAUACCGCAUAACAAUGGAUGACACAUGUCAUUUAUUUGAAAGGGGCAAUUGCUCCACUACAAGAUGGACCUGCGUUGUAUUAGCUAGUAGGUGAGGUAACGGCUCACCUAGGCGACGAUACAUAGCCGACCUGAGAGGGUGAUCGGCCACACUGGGACUGAGACACGGCCCAGACUUCUACGGGAGGCAGCAGUAGGGAAUCUUCGGCAAUGGGGGCAACCCUGACCGAGCAACGCCGCGUGAGUGAAGAAGGUUUUCGGAUCGUAAAGCUCUGUUGUAAGUCAAGAACGAGUGUGAGAGUGGAAAGUUCACACUGUGACGGUAGCUUACCAGAAAGGGACGGCUAACUACGUGCCAGCAGCCGCGGUAAUACGUAGGUCCCGAGCGUUGUCCGGAUUUAUUGGGCGUAAAGCGAGCGCAGGCGGUUUGAUAAGUCUGAAGUUAAAGGCUGUGGCUCAACCAUAGUUCGCUUUGGAAACUGUCAAACUUGAGUGCAGAAGGGGAGAGUGGAAUUCCAUGUGUAGCGGUGAAAUGCGUAGAUAUAUGGAGGAACACCGGUGGCGAAAGCGGCUCUCUGGUCUGUAACUGACGCUGAGGCUCGAAAGCGUGGGGAGCGAACAGGAUUAGAUACCCUGGUAGUCCACGCCGUAAACGAUGAGUGCUAGGUGUUGGAUCCUUUCCGGGAUUCAGUGCCGCAGCUAACGCAUUAAGCACUCCGCCUGGGGAGUACGACCGCAAGGUUGAAACUCAAAGGAAUUGACGGGGGCCCGCACAAGCGGUGGAGCAUGUGGUUUAAUUCGAAGCAACGCGAAGAACCUUACCAGGUCUUGACAUCCCGAUGCUAUUUCUAGAGAUAGAAAGUUACUUCGGUACAUCGGUGACAGGUGGUGCAUGGUUGUCGUCAGCUCGUGUCGUGAGAUGUUGGGUUAAGUCCCGCAACGAGCGCAACCCCUAUUGUUAGUUGCCAUCAUUCAGUUGGGCACUCUAGCGAGACUGCCGGUAAUAAACCGGAGGAAGGUGGGGAUGACGUCAAAUCAUCAUGCCCCUUAUGACCUGGGCUACACACGUGCUACAAUGGUUGGUACAACGAGUUGCGAGUCGGUGACGGCAAGCUAAUCUCUUAAAGCCAAUCUCAGUUCGGAUUGUAGGCUGCAACUCGCCUACAUGAAGUCGGAAUCGCUAGUAAUCGCGGAUCAGCACGCCGCGGUGAAUACGUUCCCGGGCCUUGUACACACCGCCCGUCACACCACGAGAGUUUGUAACACCCGAAGUCGGUGAGGUAACCUUUUGGAGCCAGCCGCCUAAGGUGGGAUAGAUGAUUGGGGUG